AGGGGCUUUGAGGCUUGUAAAAUUCUGACUAUCUGCUUUGGGAGCAGGAUGUCGGAGGUUCGAAUCCUCUCGCCCCGACCA
rnacentral:tRNA from 1 species